UGGCCCUCGCCCCAAAGCUGGUGACAUCAGGACUGUCCUCUGACCCAGAGCAGCCCCGUAGGGGAGGAGGCACCUCCUGGCAGGGCUCCCCAUCCCUCUCAGGGAGCCUUGCCCAGGGGAGGACCUGUUCCACCCCUGCCUCAGCAUCAAGGAACUGCUCCUAGCAUCUGUGUCUCUCUAUUUGCAGCGAAGUGAAGGCAAUUUCGGAGGAAGAAAUAUUACAUCUCUUCAACGUGUGCUGCAGUGUCAUCUUCUGCGUUCCUCCAACCAGGGACCUGAACAUUUGCCUCUACAACAACGUAUGUACUGGGCAAUCUACUGAUUGACCCCAUGCCUCUGGGCUGCUGCUUGGAUUACUUGUGUCCAGAGAUCUAUAAAGAUGUUUGUGGGACAAGGGAGAAGCCUUGCUUGCCCUCACCCCUCUCACUCUUGCCUUGGGCUUGGCAAACACCCUGUGUUGUAGCCUGGUCUGAGUGCAGCAGCCUUGCAGGGUGCCCCUGUGCACAGAUCUGUGGGUAUCCUUCCUUGGCAGCCAGAGGGGUUCACAGCAGUCUCCUGGGUAUGAAAGGGAACCCUGAAAGACUCUUUCAGGUUCCUUCUUACUGCAGCCCCUUGGAAAAAACCUUGCCCCUUCUCAGAGGACAGACAUUGCCCUUGUAACCCUGGAGAAGAUCAUUGGGGACUAUGGUUUUGAUGAGAAGAAGUGGGCUGAGACUAUGCUGGAUGUGCUUCGGAGAAACCCUGGCACCUGGCUGAUGGAUGUGCCAGAGAUUCUGGGAUUCAUCCACGCCAACCUGAAGAUCCAGAGCACAUCAGUUCAGCAGAUCCUGCUCUCAGUGCUGGAUGUGCUGACCGUCCAGUUUCCCAGGGAUGUGCUGAGGAGUGUGUUGACCGACCUCCCACAGAAUGACAGCACUACCCUGGACAUACUGAAGAGUGUGCUGACCCUGCUGGAAGCAUCCAAGCGGAUCUGGGAUGAGCUCAGCAGUGUUCUACAGGACCAACAGCUGUGUGAGAUAUUGAGCAUCAGCACAGAGGAGUUGGGCCUCCUUCGCUUGACUGUGAGUUACUGGACAAGGCACCGUGCUCUCCUUCAGGGCACUCUCUCCCCAGCUCCCUGCCUCCCCCUGCCAUCCUGCAUAGGCCUGGGCGCAGAGGGAUGGUGGGGCCCUCCAAAGGCACUGCUACCUCAGGCCAGGCUAUGUCUCCCCAGUGCCCUGCCCUGA
rnacentral:lncRNA from 1 species